rnacentral:rRNA from 1 species
UAGGGAAUCUUCGGCAAUGGGGGGAACCCUGACCGAGCAACGCCGCGUGAGUGAAGAAGGUUUUCGGAUCGUAAAGCUCUGUUGUUAAGGAAGAACGAGUGUGAGAAUGGAAAGUUCAUACUGUGACGGUACUUAACCAGAAAGGGACGGCUAACUACGUGCCACCAGCCGCGGUAAUACGUAGGUCCCGAGCGUUGUCCGGAUUUAUUGGGCGUAAAGCGAGCGCAGGCGGUUAGAUAAGUCUGAAGUUAAAGGCAGUGGCUCAACCAUUGUAGGCUUUGGAAACUGUUUAACUUGAGUGCAGAAGGGGAGAGUGGAAUUCCAUGUGUAGCGGUGAAAUGCGUAGAUAUAUGGAGGAACACCGGUGGCGAAAGCGGCUCUCUGGUCUGUAACUGACGCUGAGGCUCGAAAGCGUGGGGAGCGAACAGG